UACGUAGGCAGCAAGCGUUGUUCGGAGUUACUGGGCGUAAAGAGUGCGUAGGCGGUCCUGUAAGUUUGGUGUGAAAUCUCCCGGCUCAACUGGGAGGGUGCGCCGAAGACUGCAGGGCUUGAGUAUGGGAGAGGUAAGCGGAAUUCCUGGUGUAGCGGUGAAAUGCGCAGAGUAUCAGGAAGAACACCCGUGGCUAAGGCGGCUCUCUAGUACGGUACUGACGCUGAGACGCGAAAGCGUGGGGAGCGAACAGG
rnacentral:rRNA from 1 species